CACACGACUCUCGGCAACGGAUAUCUCGGCUCUCGCAUCGAUGAAGAACGUAACGAAAUGCGAUACCUGGUGUGAAUUGCAGAAUCCCGCGAACCAUCGAGUCUUUGAACGCAAGUUGCGCCCGAGGCCACUUGGCCGAGGGCACGCCUGCCUGGGCGUCACGC
rnacentral:rRNA from 1 species